CGAGCAGGCCAGAUGGUCGCGGCGGCGCAAGCCGUCGAGGAAAGUCCGGGCACCGCAGGGCACGACGGCGGGUAACACCCGCCCGCCGCGAGGCGAGGACCAGCGCCACAGUGACGAACCGCGGAAACGCGGGUGAAACGGGCAAGCUCCGUCGGGUGCAAGACCGCGCAGGGGGCAAUGGUGCGGCCCGCACCGCUCCCGGGUAGGUCGCUAGAGGCGGGGGGCGACCCCCGUCCCAGAGAGAUGACCGUCCAACGACAGAACUCGGCUUACAGGCCUGCUCGGCCU
rnacentral:RNase_P_RNA from 1 species